AGCUUUUUUUUUUUUUUGUUGAAGAUAGGAAAUUCAUAGAUAGCCAUCAAAUGGCAAUUAGGGGUGGACACACAUACGUGAUGAAGGGAUGAAGGGAUCUUCUCUUCAUCACCAACCAUGUCAACAAUAGACCUAGCAUCAAGCUCUACAUAGCUUGUUCGUCAAUGAUGUCAAACCAACAAACACUACCCUUGUCCCCCAAGUUCAGCAAUUGUAAUACAGCAGGUUCCAAGUUGGAUGCAAAUCCCCAAUCCAUAAACCAGUCUCUGUAAAAU
rnacentral:misc_RNA from 1 species